GAACAGCCCAUGCUGCUGCUCUGCCUAUGGAGUAGCCAUUCUUUAUUCCCUUACUUUCUUAAUAAACUCGCUUUCACUUUAUGGAUUCAACUGUAAUUCUUUCUUGUGUGAGAUCCAAGAACCUUCUUGUAGGGUCUGGAUUGGGACCCUUUUCUGGUAACAUCUUCCUGGUGACCAUGAAGGGACAAUACUGAAGAGACCCCUGACCCUAAGGAAAUAGACUGCAGCACCAAUGGGCCAACUUUGGGGCGAUCAUCUUGCCCAGAAACAUCAUGUUGAAACUCUUGGUCAGAGGUUGGAUGAAAGCUGACAGGGUCCAUCCAGGAGCAAGUUUGAGCCUUGCCAGUUCCAUUUUGGGUGCUGAGUGGAGUGGCGACUAUAGCAAACCUGUGAUCUCUGGCUGCUGCUCAGAAGAAACAAGAGGGAGGGAUGAAUAAUGUAAAACUCUGGAUCAAUAUUCUAAUUCUGAGCCUCUAUUGGAAUCAGCUAGCAACCACAUAUCAGCUUGGUUUCAACAGUUUCCCAGUUCAUGCUGCUGAGAAGUUCAGAGUCAAACCUGAAUCUCACCUCUGCAAAGAGCACAGGACUCCAUGGCAAACGUUGUAUAUACGCAAGUCAUCCCUGGCACCACAUUGAUUUACUGCACCAGGCUUUCUUCAUUGUGAUGAUGUUCUCUCUCUUUUCUAAAAAAAAAAUAAAAAUAAAAUUUAAAAAAUCCUGUU
rnacentral:lncRNA from 1 species